rnacentral:snRNA from 1 species
AGCACAUCUUAUUCAGAUGAGCUAUACUAACCUAGCUUUGUGGUAAGUUUCCAUCAAUAUGUCCUCCAUAGGAGGUCUAUCUUGAGCAGAUUCUUUUUGGUAUUGGGUGGUGGAACUGGAGCGUGCUCCAUCCACUCCAUGCGUUGACCUGGUAUUGCAGUGCUUCCAGGACCGGUGCAAAAAAA